rnacentral:rRNA from 1 species
GACGAACGCUGGCGGCGUGCUUAGCACAUGCAAGUCGAACGGAAAGGCCCUGCUUUUGUGGGGUGCUCGAGUGGCGAACGGGUGAGUAACACGUGAGUAACCUGCCCUUGACUUUGGGAUAACUUCAGGAAACUGGGGCUAAUACCGGAUAGGAGCUCCUGCUGCAUGGUGGGGGUUGGAAAGUUUCGGCGGUUGGGGAUGGACUCGCGGCUUAUCAGCUUGUUGGUGGGGUAGUGGCUUACCAAGGCUUUGACGGGUAGCCGGCCUGAGAGGGUGACCGGCCACAUUGGGACUGAGAUACGGCCCAGACUCCUACGGGAGGCAGCAGUGGGGAAUAUUGCACAAUGGGCGGAAGCCUGAUGCAGCAACGCCGCGUGCGGGAUGACGGCCUUCGGGUUGUAAACCGCAUUCGCCUGUGACGAAGCGUGAGUGACGGUAAUGGGUAAAGAAGCACCGGCUAACUACGUG